CCGUUACGCCUCCAACACAUGAGGCUAGUACUUCAGAGGUUUCCAAUCGCUGUUAAGUACAAGCCAGGCAAAGAGCUUCUCUUAGCCGAUGCCCUCUCAUGUUUUCCAAGUGCAACUGCGAGAACAAACUGAACAGUUUGAAGUUGAUGUCGUUUCUUCUCUGCUCAUUGUGGGUGACCAACUGCAGAGCAUCCAGGAGGAAACCAACAAUGACGCACUUAUGUUGCAGUUGCCUUCUUAUACCAGCACAGACUGGCCCAAGACAAAGCUACAACUACCGGAUGCCCUGUGAUCUUUUUGGGCCUACCACGAUGAACUGCAUACCGAAGAUGGCCUGCUGUUUAGGAGCAACAAGCUAGUCAUCCCGCCAGCCAAGUGCCAGGAAGUUCUCCACUUACUACAUGCAGAACACGGGUGAGAAGAAAAAAUGAAGGCCCGACAGGUGAUGUUCUGGCCUAACAUGAAUUCUGACAUUCGGAAUAUUGCAAACUCUUGCCGUGUACGCCAAAAAUACAAAAACGGAAAUGCAAAGCUUCCAGUGCUCUGUCAUCCAGUGCCCAGCUUGCCCUAGCAGCCUGUUGGUAUGGACUUCUACUACGGGGGCAACGAGUACUUGAUUACAGUAGAUUUCUACUCGUUUUUUUUAGAGAUCCGAAAGCUUCGCCAUACAACAGUGCAAGCAGUUAUCCAAGCAUGCAUCAAGUUUUUGCAAUGCACGAGAUCGCUGCCAACAACAUGCAGUGAUAAUGGGCCCCCAUUCAGCAGUGGAAUGUUCAGAUCGUUCACGUCUCAUUUUCACAUCAACCAUGUCAUGUCCAGCCCCCACUAUCCAUAUAGAAACGGCAUAGCAGGAUGUGCUGUUCAAGCAGCAAAAAUGUUGCACAAGAAGUGUUCAUUUGGGGUCUUUGAAUUUUGCAGCACCAUGCUGAAAUGAAGAAAUUCACUGAAAGAUGACCUUCUGCAGUUCCCAUCAGAAAGAUUGAUGGGCUGCUGCACCAGAACCAGGCUGCCAGUACUGGACUGUCAUCUCAAGCCAAAGAGUAUUCUCACUGAAACCGUCUGAAGCCACCUAGAGGACACUAGGAGCAGGCAACAAAAGUAUUACAAUUCUGUUCGACAUCUUCCAGAUCUUCACAGAAGAUCUGCAGUGUCAAUCUAUGACACUUUACAGAGAACCUGGGCUCCAGCAGUAGCUGUAGGCAUAGCAGGCACACCAUGAUCCUACAUAAUCGAUACUGGCAGCGGACGUCUGCGUCGCACAAGAGAGCAUCUAAGAACUACAAAGGCAGAAAUGCAGGAUCCACCUUCCCAAAUGGAACUGCCAGGCGAUAUUUCGACUCAGCAGGCAAUGCCUGAAGAUGGGCUUCGUAGGAGCACGCGCCAGAGCAGGGAGCCACAACGGCUUCCCUUGCCAGAACGCUGAACUUAAUCACGUAUUCCAUAUUUUUUUUUUCCAGUGAAGAGAAGAUGUGACAAAAGGCAAAGUCAUCUGCAUGCGUGCACAAGACAACACCUGCACAUGUUGCAGCCCAAGAGUGCUCCCCAAGAGCAAGAGUUCCAGGGGUGUCAAGUGUCCAGAAGCAGCCCCAGGUUCUUGGAAGAAAUGUUGUUUGAACUAGACAGACGGUGGCGCUUUCGCCGGCAGGACCAUUGGUAAAAUUAGUGACACUGUUGUUGGCAGUAGUGCUGUACAGUUUACCUGUUGUUAGUAUUAGGCGAAUAAAGACGUCAGUGGACCUCUCAAUAAAGCUGCAGAGUAAAGUUGUUUUUGUGAAUUUAUUAAUGCAGUUACUGAGCGGCGCAAUGUGUUGUGCUGUUUCCAUUCAGUGUCGAACCGAAGCUUUUUUCGUUGCUGUUUUCGUUCCAGUUUAGCGAAAACUGAUCAGUUCCCGUUUAUUCGCGGAGCGAGAAAUAGCAUGACCUAAAAAAAGUUAAUGAAAAACAGCGCACAUCUAUUUUGUGCAAUAACCUGAUGGGUGCUCCUAGCUGUUGGGAAAGACUAACGCAUGCUGUUCUUAAAAGGCCCCUCACCAGGUCUGGCCAUUUUAACUGACUAGUGCAGUGCAUACAAUGCGUGCUAACUAUCAUGUCUGUGAAGUAUGACACCGCGACGUGCCCCGAAAAAAGCUGAAAUUUCAAACCAUAUGCCGUGCACCCUUCUCGCGGGCGCCGCGCUCCCAGCCACAGAGUCGUCAAUCACAAGUGUGCCUAUGUAAAUGGCAGCGCUGUGGCUUCACUCAGUGACACAUGACUUGGAGAAUUAUUCAAGGUAACAUCGGUUAUUUGUUUGACCUAUUGCUUCAAUGGACAGAUUAAAGCUCAGAGGAAUAG
rnacentral:lncRNA from 1 species